rnacentral:tRNA from 1 species
AUAUGAGAGCCGGGUGGUUAAGUCCGGGGCACAGAAUUAGCAGUUCUUGUAGGACUCUCAUAAGUUG